rnacentral:rRNA from 1 species
CCUACGGGUGGCAGCAGUGGGGAAUAUUGCACAAUGGGCGAAACCCUGAUGCAGCGACGCCGCGUGAGUGAAGAAGUAUCUCGGAACGUAAAGCUCUAUCAGCAGGGAAGAAAAUGACCGUACCUGACUAAGAAGCCCCGGCGAACUACGUGACAGCAGCCGCGGUAAUACUUGGGGGGCAAGCGUUAUCCGGAUUUACUGGGUGUAAAGGGAGCGUAGACGGCAGAACAUGUCUGGAGUGAAAUCCCGGGGCUUAACCCCGGAACUGCUUUGGAAACUGUGCGGCUGGAGUGCAGGAGGGGAAAGCGGAAUUCCUGGUGUAGCGGUGAAAGGCGGAGAUAUUAGGAGGAACACCAGUGGCGAAGGCGGCUUACUGGACUGUAACUGACGUUGAGGCUCGAAAGCGUGGGGAGCAAACAGGAUUAGAUACCCUAGUAGUC